rnacentral:rRNA from 1 species
GACGUAGGGCGCGAGCGUUGUCCGGAUUUAUUGGGCGUAAAGAGCUCGUAGGCGGCUUGUCGCGUCGUCUGUGAAAUCCCGCGGCUCAACCGCGGGUCUGCAGUCGAUACGGGCAGGCUAGAGUUCGGUAGGGGAGACUGGAAUUCCUGGUGUAGCGGUGAAAUGCGCAGAUAUCAGGAGGAACACCGGUGGCGAAGGCGGCUCUCUAUCUCGAUUCUGACGCUGAGGCGCGAAAGCUAGGGGAGCAAACGGG